GAUGAACGCUAGCGGCAGGCUUAACACAUGCAAGUCGAACGGUAACAUUGGUGCUUGCACCAGAUGACGAGUGGCGCACGGGUGCGUAACGCGUAUGCAAUCUACCUUUUACUGAAGAAUAGCCCAGAGAAAUUUGGAAUAAUCCUUCAUAAUAUCAUUUAUCAGCAUUGAUUUAUGAUUAAAGCUCCGGCGGUAAAAGAUGAGCAUGCGUUCUAUUAGCUAGUAGGUGAGGUAACGGCUCACCUAGGCUACGAUAGAUAGGGGCCCUGAGAGGGGGAUCCCCCACACUGGUACUGAGACACGGACCAGACUCCUACGGGAGGCAGCAGUGAGGAAUAUUGGACAAUGGAGGCAACUCUGAUCCAGCCAUGCCGCGUGCAGGAUGACUGCCUAUGGGUUGUAAACUGCUUUUAUAUAGGAAGAAACACUCCCACGUGUGGGGGCUUGACGGUACUAUAUGAAUAAGGAUCGGCUAACUCCGUGCCAGCAGCCGCGGUAAUACGGAGGAUCCAAGCGUUAUCCGGAAUCAUUGGGUUUAAAGGGUCCGCAGGCGGCCUGUUAAGUCAGAGGUGAAAUCCUACAGCUCAACUGUAGAACUGCCUUUGAUACUGAUAGGCUUGAGUUAUUGUGAAGUGGUUAGAAUGUGUGGUGUAGCGGUGAAAUGCUUAGAUAUCACACAGAAUACCCAUUGCGAAGGCAGAUCACUAACAAUAUACUGACGCUCAUGGACGAAAGCGUGGGGAGCGAACGGGAUUAGAUACCCCGGUAGUCCACGCCGUAAACGAUGGAUACUAACUGUUCGUCCCGCUUGCGGGAUGAGUGGUCAAGCGAAAGUGAUAAGUAUCCCACCUGGGGAGUACGCUCGCAAGAGUG
rnacentral:rRNA from 1 species